rnacentral:rRNA from 1 species
CCUACGGGUGGCAGCAGUGAGGAAUAUUGGUCAAUGGGCGAGAGCCUGAACCAGCCAAGUAGCGUGAAGGAUGAAUGCCCUAUGGUUUGUAAACUUCUUUGAUAUGGGAGUAAAAUGGUGAGCGUGUGGGUUUUUGUAUGUACCGUAUGAAUAAGGAUCGGCUAACUCCGUGCCAGCAGCCGCGGUAAUACGGAGGAUACGAGCGUUAUCCGGAUUUAUUGGGUUUAAAGGAAGCGUAGGUGGGCUGUUAAGUCAGUUGUGAAAGUUUGCGGCUCAACCGUAAAAUUGCAGUUGAAACUGGCAGUCUUGAGUACAGUAGAGGUGGGCGGAAUUCGUGGUGUAGCGGUGAAAUGCUUAGAUAUCACGAAGAACUCCGAUUGCGAAGGCAGCUCACUGGACUGCAACUGACACUGAGGCUCGAAAGCGUGGGUAUCAAACAGGAUUAGAUACCCUUGUAGUC